AAAUCUCCAAUUUGCCAAGUUCUUGCUUCCACAGUUUGUUUAGUUAUUUGGCUUUGUUUUUGAAGGUGGUGCGAAUCCCUCUCUAGCCGUGCUAUUAUAGAAUAACAAUGCUCCCUUUAGGCUUCAAUAUCCCUUCCCCGCUUGGCCACUUCAUUUUCAACGAUCUUGACCUUUUUCUUCAUACUUGCCAUCCCCUUGUCAUAUUUCUCCCUUAAAUGACGGACAAAACUUGCUUGUUCCCCGGAAUCCUUGGAUAUCUUGGCCCGAGCACUUGCUAAAUCCUUUUCACUGUUCUAAAAUCAUCCUCGACAUCUUGUGCUAUCUGGGCAAGGUUGUAGAUGAGCUUCUCAUCCUGUCUACUCCUGCCCGGGUUGUCAAUUGCUAUUUUCAUUUUAUGGAUCUGCGCUGUGAGAGCUUCAUUUUCUUGGAUAAAUCAU
rnacentral:lncRNA from 1 species